ensembl:snoRNA SNORD22 Small nucleolar RNA SNORD22
UACCUUUAAAGUCUUUCUCUUAGAAUAUGCUGUCAUGAGCCUGUCAAGGUGAACCCACUGGGGCUGGCUGGGGGAGAAGAGGGAAGUUUGUUCCAGAAAGAACUGAGGGAU